GGAGUUGCAAAGUAGGUGAAGAAAGAGAUGGCCACCUUGGAGGAGUUGGCGACAUGUGCGGAUGUGGGGACCCAUAAUAGUGGAGUUUUGGGUUACACCACUCUCUCCAGUUAAAUGAUGUGACCAAAAUAAUGGAGCCCACUGAAUGGUGGUUGGGUGACGGAGAUAAGGCAGCAGAGGCAGCUAGUAACUAGUGAAGUCCA
rnacentral:lncRNA from 1 species